GCUGAAAGGAUGACAUCAUCCUGUCUGCACCAUCAUGAGCAGGAAUCCAAGGUGGCCUGGGGAUUAGCUCUCCAGACACAGGGAACAGUUUUGGAGCCUGGGACAAGGAGAAGGGGCUGCAAGUGAUGGGCUGUUCAACCUUUGCCUGGUGGAAUGUGGCAGCCUUUAGCUCUGGCCAGGGAUCUUCUCAGUGGCCAGUUGAUAUCUGUUUAAACACCAGCAAAGCAGCCCUCUUCUCCAAGAACUUGGCCUGUAAUGUAUAUCAUCAGAGAGACACCCCAUCCUGGGUCUCUUGGUAAUAAUGAUUUUGGCCCAUCGUGCAAGGCAAGUAAUUGUGUUCAGUCUUUCCCUUUGUUAACAUAUCCAAGCAGAUAGUCUACAUCUAUUUGACCUUCUGUCUCACAGCUCUGGGAAACCUUUUUCUCUGUUCCUUAUAGUUCUCAAUCUCUAGAGAAGUGCAUUGCAUAUUCUUACCCUUUGGGGGAAGAACAUUUGUCUCCUAAGGGCUGAAUAUAUAGCACACUGGUCCCAUGACACCUAGAGAAUGAACAUGGAUACCAUCACAUCAUUUCUUCAGCCCCAUUCUGCAUGAUGUCACCCAGAAAUGGAAGGAGGGAUUAUGGUGACUCCAGUAGAUCCUUCUGAGAAAGAUGGUUCUAUAGCCAGGACUGUGGAUAAAGGCAGCCAAAACAAUUUACUCUAAUAAGGCUGCC
rnacentral:lncRNA from 1 species